rnacentral:rRNA from 1 species
CUAGUCAAGUGCUCUUGCGCGGAUAAUGUACCGGGGCUAAGCAUAUUACCGAAACUGUGGAUGCGUAAGCAUGGUAGGAUAGCGUAAUUAACGCGAUGAAGGAUGACCGUAAGGACAUGUUGGAGCGUUAACUAGUGAGAAUUCCGGUAUGAGUAGCGAAAGAUAGGUGAGAAUCCUAUCCACCGAAUGAGUAAGGUUUCCCCCGGAAGGCUCGUCCGCGGGGGGUUAGUCGGGACCUAAGGCGAGGCUGAAAAGCGUAGUCGAUGGACAACAGGUUGAUAUUCCUGUACCGAUAUUUAAUUGCCGAAGGAAGGACGCAGAAGGAUAACACAGGCCACUAUUGGAUGUGGUUUUAAACAGUUAGUCUUCAUAAGAGUCAAAUGCUUUUAUGUUUAAGGAUAAGCUGUGAAUGUACCAAGUUUACUUGGAAAUUGUGUGAUUUCACGCUGCUGAAAAAAGUUUCGUAGGAAGAAAAUAUUGCCCGUACCGCAAACCGACACAGGUACUCAAGUGGAGAACACUAAGGUGAGCGAGUGAACUAUUGUUAAGGAACUCUGCAAAAUGAGUCCGUAACUUCGGAAGAAGGACUGCUGGUUUUAUACCAGCCGCAGCAAAUAGGCCCAAACAACUGUUUAUCAAAAACACAGGUUUCUGCAAAAUCGUAAGAUGAAGUAUAGGGGCUGACGCCUGCCCAGUGCUGGAAGGUUAAAAGGAGGACUUAGCUUCGGCGAAGGUCUUAAUUGAAGCCCCAGUGAACGGCGGCCGUAACUAUAACGGUCC